rnacentral:tRNA from 1 species
GGGAUUGUGGCUCAGUGGUAGAGCAUGUGCCUAGCAGAUGCAAGGCCCUGAGUUCGAUCCUCAGCACCA